rnacentral:sRNA from 1 species
UUUGCAUGUAUUUUCAUAAGGGAUGUUAAUCUGUGGUUUUCUCUUCUUGUGAUGUCUUUGUCUAGCUUUGGUAUCAGGAUACAGCUAGCCUCAUGGAAUGAACUAGGAAGUAUGCCCCCCUCUUCUAGUUUUUGGAUGACCCAUCAUCUCUUACCUCACCUACAGCAGGAACCUUGAAAUUGGACUUCUGCCUCACACCCUGCAAUCUCAUCUCCACAUUAUGACCAGAGUGAUCUUCUUUUUAAAAAAAAAACUUAUUGUUACUAUUUCAAUUGAUAAAUGAAUUGUAUAUAUUUAUGGUGUACAACGUGGUAUUUUGAUUGUGUACACAUUGUGGAAUGGCUAAAUCAAGCUAAUUAACACACCAUUUUUUGUGGUGAGAACACUUAAAAUCUACUCUCUCAGCAGUUUUCAGAUACAGACUACAUUGUUAUUGACUGUAGUCACCAUGUUGUACAGAGUGAUCUUCUCAGUGGACAACUCUGUGCACAUCCCUCAGAGCCGCAAGGCAGUGAUAUCCAGGUUCCUGAACAGGGUCUCCAAAGCCCUCCUCACACGGGUCCUUUCCUUCCUGUCUCGCCACAUCUUCCAGGUCCAUGUCUCAGCUAUGUGAGGUUCUUUUCAGUUCCUUAAGCACAUCCCACUGUUAGCUCAGAGAUAUGUUGCAGUCCUAACUCCAAGUACCUAUAAAUGUGGCCUUAUUUCACAAUAGGGUCUUUGUAAAUGUAAUUAAGUUAGGAUGUGGUCAUAUUGAAUUGGGGGGUGGGGGUUAAGCCAAAUGACUGUGUCCUUAGAAGAAGAGGAGAGAAGAGACAGACACAGACAAAGGAAAGAAGGUCAGGUGGAAAUGGAGGCAGAGAUCAGAAUGAUGUGUGUAUAAGCCAAGAACACCUGGGAGAGCCAAGGAAGGAUCCUCCCCUAGAGUGUUCGGAGGAAGCAUGGCACUGCCGAUACCUUGAAUUCAGACUUCCAGCCUCCAGAACUAGGAGAGAAUAAACUUCUGUUGUUUUAAGCCACUGAGUUUGUGGUUCUUUUUCCAGCAGCCCUAGGAAACUCAUACAAGGAUAUAGGAGGUUUAUUUGCAGAUGAGUUUGUUGCUUCUUUAGUGGUCUGUAUCUCAUAGCACUAGAAAGAAUAGAAAAGUUAAUUCCAGAUAAUGUGAUGUAUUUCUUUUGUUUUUCGUAGACAAAGGGUGGAGGAUAUGAGAGUGAAAGUGCUUACCCAAAUGCAGAACUUGUGUUCUUGGAGAUCCACAACAUUCAUGUCAUGCGAGAGUCACUACGCAAAUUAAAAGAGAUUGUGUACCCUUCGAUCGAUGAGGCGCGGUGGCUCUCCAAUGUGGAUGGGACGCAUUGGCUGGAAUAUAUAAGGAUGCUGCUUGCUGGGGCAGUAAGAAUUGCUGAUAAAAUAGAAUCUGGGAAAACAUCUGUGGUGGUGCAUUGCAGCGACGGUUGGGACCGAACAGCCCAGCUCACAUCUCUGGCUAUGCUAAUGUUGGACAGUUACUACAGGACCAUUAAAGGAUUUGAAACUCUCGUAGAAAAGGAGUGGAUAAGCUUUGGACACAGGUUUGCACUGCGAGUGGGCCAUGGUAAUGACAACCAUGCGGAUGCUGACCGAUCUCCCAUAUUUCUGCAGUUUGUUGAUUGUGUUUGGCAAAUGACAAGGCAGUUUCCUUCAGCAUUCGAGUUUAAUGAGCUAUUCUUGAUUACAAUUUUGGAUCACCUUUAUAGCUGUCUUUUUGGGACCUUUUUGUGCAACUGUGAACAGCAGCGAUUCAAAGAGGCAUGGGGGGCUGGGACCCAGCGAGCCCGUGGCUCUCUCAGGAGUAGAUGAGUGCUAGACCCUGGACCUCCUGACUCCGAGUUCAUGUAGUCUCCGCUGCACCAACUCCAAAACCGUGGGAUUCUGCUUUUCAUCCUCUGUGGUGUUGGCCAGAUCAUACUUGAAGGCCUUGGAAAUGGAGUCUGCUGAGUAGCCAAAAAGCCCACUUUAGGUAGCAAGCUAACACUUUUUUACAUCAAAGUAGUAAAGAAGCAGUUACC